GAAACUGGCACGGUGCUAGAGGCUCGCACUGUGUUCUGCCACCCGCCUUUGCCUUCCCACACUCUGUCCCCUCAACGGUUUCACAGUUGCCUCGCUCAGCUCUGAACUGCGCCGCAGGAUUCAUUUCCUGAUUAAAAAAACCGUCUUUCUCCUGCUUUCUCUCUCCCGCAGCUUACAGAUGAUAACCUAACAGUUUGUGAAACAUAACUUGGCUUGCCCUCUAAUGACAUUUUCAUCAUGAGAUUCAUUUGUUCGUUUUGCAUGUGCAAGAUUGUACAAACCUAGAAGAACAAAAAUCAAGGUUGAAGUAGGAAAAGGCGUUGAAAAAUCACGGCAGAUGGAACGUGGCUUCAUUUCCUGGGUAAAAAUGACCCCUGGAUCCUGGAAAUCUCCAGCAUCAACCCUGCACCACUUCGUAUGAGCAUCUGUUACUAUUAGCAAGAAAGUACCAUGGCACUAGAAAAAAUAAACAGUGCGCUUGUUUAAUUAAGGUUAAGAUACACGCGCUCCUGUUACAUCUUUGUUUUGUUGUGUGGGUAUACUUUGUUUGUGAGAACUUAAACAAUGAGAUACUCUGCUAAGUGUGAGAGUUACGCUGUUCAUUCCAAAGCUGUC